rnacentral:lncRNA from 1 species
CUUCCUUAUGUUAUCAAUCAUAGUUAUCUUUUAUGUAACAAAAACUGAGUAGCAAAAUACUUACGUGUGCUCAUUCACUUCAGUUGUGUCUGGCUCUUUGUGACCCUAUGGACUAUAGCCCAACAGGCUCCUCUGUCCAUGGGAUUCUCCAGGCAAGAAUACUGGAGUGGGUUGCCAUUCACUUCUCCAUGGGAUAGUCUCGACCCAGGGAUCUAACCCAGGUCUCUUGCACUGCAGGCAGAAUCUUUGCCCACUGAGCCACCUGGGAAGCCCUGCAAAAUACUUUUAUACAAGUCUGCUAAGAAGUUGGAACACAGAUCCAGACAACGUCUCCUAGAGACAGCCCAGGAGAGUGAAAAGAGCAGAGGCUGUGUGUUUUCUCACAACUCCACCAGCUCGGUGAACUUGGGCAAGUCACUUGACCUCUGUGGGACUCAAUAACACGGUCUAUAAAACAUGACAACAUUGUCAACCCAGAAAGCAAUCAAUAAAGAUAAAGCUCUGGUUGCCCCAAAAAGGAGGUUGGACUAAAUUGAAUCUUCUGAUUCCAAUUUUAUGAACUGCAAUAAAAUCUCUCUAGGGUGCAGGAUUACAUCUGUGUUGAAGAAUGACUACAUUAAGACAAUUAUCAGACGCUCUUUAUGCUUCCAAAUUGGAGGCACUUUAUCUAUGCUGACACUAGGUGUACACAGUUUGAAAGGAAUAAAUGCACCCUCAGCCAGGGGAAAUGGAGAAACAAAAAGGCUGUACCUGGUGUAAGCCUUGCUGAUGGCAGAACAAGUGGGCCAAUUCUGUGUGUCACAGAAUUGCAGCGAUUCUGGUAGGAGAUUUUCACGACUUCAUAAGAACUUAAUAGUAAUCAAAGAGCUUUUCCUCCUUCUGUUAAAAAAGAAAAAGUAGGGGGCUGAGCGGACAGGGGAAAUCUUUCACCUGAGAGUUAGAAGGGACCAGUUUCCCAUUCACAGGCUAGUCCUGCAGGACCACGUCAUUAGCCAUGAAUGCUUUGUUCUUUUGCAGAAUGUUGUGCAGCCCUGAUGAGUUUGGCUUUGAGUGUCUCCCUGGAGGAGGGAAGACUUAGUGUUGGGAACACAGCAGGCUAAGCCUGUGUUCUAAGGAGAGUGUACAGUUGCUAAUAAAGUGUUUGGAUUUUGCUUUUCUUCUUUUCA